CCCCGAAAACGCUACGUGAGCUGGGCCCUGGGCCAGAGGCAGAAAACGGACGGAAGAAAAGGUCUGGCCGGAGAUGGGUCUCACUCUGUCACCCAGACUGGAGUGCAGUGAGUGGUGCGAUCAUAGCUUACUGCAGCCUGAAACUCCUGGGCUCAAGUGAUCUUCUCGCCUCAGCCUCCUGAGUAGCUGGAGCUACAGGCCUCUGACAAUAUGAUACUAAGCCAUCAUAGCCCCUGUGACCGCCACGUAUACAUCCAGAUGACCUGGAGCAACUGAAGAACCACAAAAGAUGGCAUUCCACCAUUGAGAUUUGUUCCUGCCCCACCCCAACUAAUCAAUCGACCUUGUGACAUUCCCCCUGCCCCCGACAGUGAGUCUCAUGAUCUCCCCACCCAGCACCUUGGCACCUUGUGACCCCCGCCCCUGCCCACAAGAGAUAACCACCUUUAACUGUAAUUUUCCACUACCUACCCAAAUCCUAUAAAACUGCCCCACCCCUAUCUCCCUUUGCUGACUCUCUUUUUGGACUCAGCCCACUUGCACCCAAGUGAAAUAAACAGCCUUGUUGCUCAC
rnacentral:lncRNA from 10 species